CGAUGGCGGAGGGGAACCACGCGUACCCAUCCCGAACACGACCGUUAAGCCCUCCAGCGCCGAUGGUACUUGGACCGCAGGGUCCUGGGAGAGUAGGACGUUGCCAAGC
rnacentral:rRNA from 1 species